AACUCAAUCCCGGCCGAGUGCCCACAUCACCAGCCCCUGACGCAGCGGCGGCAAGGAGUCAGGCGGCACGAGGACAGCCCCGGAGUGCCGAAAGUCCCCAGCCCGCUUUCCUCCGGUGAAGACGUAGCUGCGGGUGGCUGUGCUGGUGGCGGCAGCGUCCAAGAUGUCGACCAAGAAUUUCCGAGUCAGUGACGGUGACUGGAUUUGCCCUGACAAAAAAUGUGGAAAUGUAAACUUUGCCAGAAGAACCAGCUGUAAUAGAUGUGGUCGGGAGAAAACAACUGAGGCUAAGAUGAUGAAAGCAGGGGGCACUGAAAUAGGAAAGACACUUGCAGAAAAGAGCCGAGGUCUAUUUAGUGCUAAUGACUGGCAGUGUAAAACUUGCAGUAAUGUGAAUUGGGCAAGAAGAUCAGAGUGUAACAUGUGUAAUACUCCAAAGUAUGCUAAGUUAGAAGAAAGAACAGGAUAUGGUGGUGGUUUUAAUGAAAGAGAAAAUGUUGAAUAUAUAGAAAGAGAAGAAUCUGAUGGCGAAUAUGAUGAGUUUGGACGUAAAAAGAAAAAAUACAGAGGGAAGGCAGUUGGUCCAGCAUCUAUUUUAAAGGAAGUUGAAGAUAAAGAAUCUGAGGGAGAAGAAGAGGAUGAGGAUGAAGAUCUUUCUAAAUAUAAAUUGGAUGAGGAUGAGGAUGAAGAUGAUGCUGAUCUCUCAAAAUAUAAUCUUGAUGCCAGUGAAGAAGAAGAUAGUAAUAAAAAGAAAUCUAAUAGACGAAGUCGCUCAAAGUCUCGAUCUUCACAUUCACGAUCUUCAUCACGCUCAUCCUCCCCCUCAAGUUCAAGGUCUAGGUCCAGGUCCCGUUCAAGAAGUUCUUCCAGUUCGCAGUCAAGAUCUCGUUCCAGUUCCAGAGAACAUUCGAGAUCUCGUGGGUCGAAAUCAAGAUCCAGCUCCAGAUCCCACAGGGGCUCUUCUUCCCCACGAAAAAGAUCUUAUUCAAGUUCAUCAUCUUCUCCUGAGAGGAACAGGAAGAGAAGUCGUUCUAGAUCUUCAUCUGGUGAUCGCAAAAAAAGACGAACAAGAUCACGGUCACCCGAAAGGUGAUUGGUGAAAACACUAAACAACCCUGAGCCCAGGGCCAACCCCUCGGAACACCACUACUUUACCCAGGCACCACAGGUCAUCUUCUGGAUCAUCCCAUUCUGGUUCCCGUUCAAGUUCAAAAAAGAAAUAAUGUAUUAAAAUUUACAUCUUAAAAAAAAAAUCCAGUACAGUGCAUGAAGCAUAUUUUUUAAGAAGUUGGUGUCUUACUUGGUCAAAAGUGCUAAGUCUCCUAGUAGAGGUGCAUGCCUUUCAUUGCUUUUCAGAACAAUACAGCUGUGUUUAUUUGUGAAAUUAAAAGUAAAUAGUAUUUUAAGCCAUAAUGUCCCAAAAUAGAUGCUCUAUUUAUCGUUCUUUAUUUACAGUCAUUUUUUUUAAAAAACCAUCUCAUCUAUAACGAAGUACUUUGCUUCUUUUGGUUUUUUGUUUUUGUUUACUUUGUUUCCUAAUUUGAACUCUUGUUUUCCUCAUUUCCAAAUAGGAAUUGUUUAGUGACUUAUGGUUACCUUAGGCUUGCCUGAACUUUGGGCAUGGAGGCAAGACUGUGGUGAAGUAGUUGGAAACAGUCUGUUUAUGUUAAUCUGAGAAAAGGAGUCAGCCUCUGUAUGUUAACCUAUGUCAAAGUGAUUCUUCUCAGAAAAAGUUAAACUAGUUGUAAAACAGCCAACUAGAAACUUUAUUCUUAAAUUCCCUGUGCUAAGGGUGCCUUAGAAUUAUUCUGUCUUUUAUUCAGUUUUGCUUUUUGCACCACAUUUAAUGCAGAAAAAUCUUGUGAAUUGUAGAAGGAGAAAGGUGUUCCAUAUUUCUCACUCUGACACAUCAUUUGAGCAAGAAUAUCUAACAGUUCAUUUCUAAUCUGCUGAUACGGUUGUCUGAUGAGGAAAACAUCUUAUGUUCAAAAUGUUUAUCUUACUAUUUUAAGAAGCUUUGUGUGAUGUCUUUUAAAAAUCCAUUAUCACACAUGAUAGGGUAGACAAAGCUAAAUUAUAGUUAAUGAAGAAAGCUUCUGAAGUAUAGUUCUCUUUGGGUGAAAGACCAACAGAGACAUUGUUAAUUUAAGCAAACCUUUGCUGUGAGAUGUUUAACUUUAAACACUUAAUAAAAUUUUUUUUUAGUAAUAAAUGAAUAUUUAUUUCUGCACAACACAAGCAGAAAUAAUUGUUCCUGUUCACUUCAAAUUACUUAUGGCUUAAAAUACUUUCAGAGUUUGUUUUAUUUCUCAAAAUUAAAAUCUGGUCACAAGCUUUAUUAUGUCUUUUGGUUUAAAAACAAAAGGUUUCUCUUAACAGUAUCUUCAGUGACAAUGCAAGGUAAGUAUGUUAAGGAAGAUCAGCAGUUGUGCUUGAGGACUUUUUGUCAUGGGGAUCAAUACCCAUUAUUCUUGUUCUGUUUCUUGGGGGUUUUUUUGAACUGUAAUGUCUUCUGCAAUUAAAAACUAAAAUGCUUUAAGGCAUUUUGUAGACAGACCAAACAAAAUUAUAUUUGUUUCUUUAUUUUAAAAUGAGUGGUUUUUCUCUUCACUUGAUCUAAAGAUGAAAUCAAAAUAUCUUAUGUAGAAAUAUUUUGAUAAUAUUUUUACAAUGAACUUGCCCCUUGUUUUUUUUGUCUUAAUUUUCUUUCCUACAUUUACUGUAGUUUGCACAAGAACUUUUCUCUCUUGUAAUUGUGCCUCAGACUUCUUGAAAGUCCACCUCCUAAAAUGCCCAGGUGAUCUUUUAGAUUUUACAUGUUACUAUUGGUUUAUUCUUGUGCUUUCUGUAUUUAAACUUUGGCUGUACUAAAUAAAUGCAAGAUUAUAAAUUUAGCUAAUAGUUGUUUACAGACAAUUCAGAUGAUUAUGAUUUCAUUUGGUUUAACUAAACUGUAGUAGUCCAUAAGGAAAUGAUGCUGUAGACAAAUGUAAAUAAAGCUUGUGAGUCAAGCAUCAAGUGGUGUUUGUUAGAAAUAAAUUAGAAAUUUUAAAUGCUGAUUUAAUGUUCAUUUUUAAAGCUAUUUGCAGCCUUGUUUGUUACUUCUCAUUUUAAACUCUUUAUAUUCACUUACUGCUGCAGCCUUUUGCAUCAAGGGUUCAAGGAUCUGGAGAAGGGGCUACAACAUAAACGGAUACACUAGACAAGAAAUAUAAAUUUAGAAGGCAUGGGGGAAAGCCAGGCAGAGAACUCCUCCUCUAGUGGAGUGGCUCUCUGAAUCUCCGGACUCACGGCUUUUUAUUUACUAGAAUAUAUAUAUACAUUUGCCCUUUAGCAAAGCAAACAGACAUUUCAUUGGUAAGGUUUGAUAAACAGUUAAAAAUUAACAGGUUAGGAGAUCGCCUUCAGCCAUUUGGCCAGCAGCAGGGUAAUAUAAUGCUGACUGUUUUUUUUCAGCCCUGCUGAAUAUCAAAGUCCAUCAGCCUUCUGAGGACUUCUUGCAUUUAUGACCUGCUGGUCUUAGCCUCCAGCAACUUACCCUGUAUAUAACGUCAUCUUAUUUUCAUAUAGGAGUGCUUGGUUUAAAACAUUAUAAAGCAUCACUAUCACCUUGGGUACUCAAAAAUCAGAGAGAAUCACUGAUCAGCUGUAUCCUGCAUGCCCUACACUGGUGAUCAAGCCCACAACCCAGGCAUAUGGCCUGAUUGGGAUCAGAACCCAUGACCUCCUGGCUCCUAGAUCAAUGCUCAACAACUGAGCCAUGCUGUUCAGGCUCUGAAUUACUCUUAAAACUCACUUUAUUGCACUCAAUAACUGUUCUUUGUAACUGCUAAGUUAUCUUAAGUUUCUAUUUGCAGUCCUUUCACCAAGUUCAGAGUAAGCCCUAAAUGUAAGAUCAUCUCUAGGCACAUUUAUCAAGAUAAAACAAUUCUUGUCUCAAAAAAGCUUCCUGUCUCAUCUCUUCUUGCUAUGUGGCAUUCAUAGCCUGCCUUAUAGAUGUUGGUAAGAAGAUAGGUAAUUAAAAGUCAUUUAAGGUAUGUAAUAAGUGGUUUACAGGUAUUAUUUAAUUUUCUCUGUCACCCUUACAUAAUAUGUCCCAUUUAACAUAAAGGAGGAUUACACAGCUUAAGGAAAUGAAAAACUUUCCAAGGGAGCCACAGGUGUGGCUGAAUGAGGAUUAACCCCCAAAUCUGAUGGCAAAAUUCAGUAUUACCUAUGAUAACCAAAUAAGCUUUUUGAGAAGAUAACAUUAAGCCAAAAUGGUCAGAUGUUUUUUAAUCCAGUGAUUUUUAUAAGAAGGUGAUCAUCUCAGUCAUGUAUGGGAAGAUAAGUAGACAUGUUCAGUUUGUGGAAUACCUUAAAUUUACAGAAAAGUUGUGAAGAUUAUAGAGAGAGUUUCCAUAAACUCCCCAUCCAGUUUCUACCAUCAUUAAGAUAUUACCACAUAUUUUUGUCAAAACUAAGAAAGCAGCAUUGGUAUAUUGCAGUUCAGAUUUGAUUUGAAUUUUAACAUUUUUCCAUUACUUUGUUCUUAGAUCCAAUCCAGGUACCACAUUUACCUCUCUGGUCUGACAUUUUUUCUUUGCUUUUGAUGACUGACUAUUUUAAGGAAUAUUGGCCGGGUAUCCUGUAAAUGUCCUCUUAUUUUAAGUUUGUCUAUAUUUUUCCUUGUUAUUAGACUGGGGGUAUGGGUUUUUGGAAUAUGAAUACCAUAGAGGAAAAAUGCCUUACCACAUCAUACCAGGGUUACAUGGUAUCCAUAUGACAUCACUGGAGGUGCUAACCUUCAUCAUUUGGUUAAGGUAGGAAUUGCUCUAAUACACUAUUGUAGUUAGUUUCUUUCCUCUUAGCCUACUCCCAUUUUUUGGUAGCAAAUCAUUAAGUGUAGCCCACCGUCAGCGUAGGCAUGGGAGUGGCAGUAUUAAAUGCCAUCUGUGGGGGAAGGCUUUCUCUUCAUAAUUUGGAUUCUUCUGUAAGAAAGUUUUGUCUACUACUUUAUAUCAGCAUGGACUCAUGCAUAUUUAUUUAUUUUAGACUUUAGGUCAUAGUUCAGUGCAGUGUUUAGUUUAUGGUUCAAAUUGUUCCAUCUUUAGCCAUUGGGAAUUUUUUCAGGUUGGCUCCUGUGUCUUUGACAUGCCUCCAUACUCCAAUAGAACAGAAAGUAAAUGAUGGAGAGAAGGAAGAAGUGUUAGAGAGGUUCCUCGAAUACUUAAUGGAAGGGGAUCUAGCAAUGUGGUGGCAGUGGCAUCAACCUUAAAUAGGGGUCUGACAGUUAACUAGAGUAACAGGAGGAAUGGAUCCAUGUAGUAGGAGAGCUAAGUUUGUAGUCACUGAGAGUGACCAGUAAACACGUUAUGAUUUUUUCCCCAGCCACACUGUAGCACAUGGGUGCUUACCCAGGAUAUGGGAUGUUGUAGCAUUAUACACAGAAACAGAAGAUUAACAUGUAAUAAGUAAUAGUUCCUAAAUGUCUAUCAAAAUAAAAGGUACUAGCAUAAGAAAAAUAUAAUAACCAGGUAAAUUCAUAAAAACUUUAAUGAAUUAUUAAAAUACAUCUAAGAAGAAGAUUAUGAAGAUAGUUAUAUAGCAUUACUCAAGUAAAAGACCUGGAUUUAAAGCUAAAAAUGUAUAAGACAACCCCUUUCCUAUUAUUUCAGUCCAGUGGGAGAACAUUCCAUAGAAUUUUUCAUGGUAGGGAAAAAAAAACGUAAAAUGGGAAGAAUCAGUUUUGCCCAAAUGAAACUUUACAGAUUAAUAAGGUGAGCUAAUUUGUGAAGGUUCAAGAUUUGAUCACAUCUUAGGGGACCAAAAAUAACUGGCUAUGGGAAACCUUGGAAAAUGAGAGGAAUUUGUAAUAAUGCUGUCUGAAUUAAACUACCACAUUGAACACUGAUUGAAACUGAUGAGGUAGAGACCUUUACAGUAUCUCCAAAAUGAAACAUCUGUAACCUAGUGGAGUCAUCACAAAGACUGAGUACCUCCAACCUGAAUGUAACGAAGUACUAGUAAUGUUUACUUUAAUGGGUGUGAUCCAGUUUUGAAUUGGCAGUGAUAAUUGAUUUCUAUAUUUUUUCCCCUAGAGUUAAAGUGCCUGCUUUGAAUUUUUCAUGGUAGCUCUAUGACCCUGCCGUGUUCUUUAUGUUUGGCACAUAAGUAUAUAACAAAUAUUGGCUGUUAUUUUUACCCUCUACUCAUGUCUUCAGAUAUUUCAUACAAUACUAAUACUCAAAUUUUAUUUCCUGCUUAUUCCUUUCUACAGCACCAAAUCUGUAUCUCUACCCACUGUGUAUCUGUCUCCCUUUAAAUAAAUGUCAGUUUCACCAUAUCUAAAUUCCCCCAGUAUCCACCAAAACCAGUAUUAUAUUUCAUAUCAAUAAACAGCAUUAUCAGUAA